UACGUAGGGUGCGAGCGUUAAUCGGAAUUACUGGGCGUAAAGCGUGCGCAGACGGUUUUGUAAGCCAGAUGUGAAAGCCCCGGGCUUAACCUGGGAAUGGCAUUUGGGACUGCAAGGCUUGGAGUGCGGCAGAGGAGACUGGAAUUCCUGGUGUAGCAGUGAAAUGCGUAGAUAUCAGGAGGAAUACCGAUGGCGAAGGCAGGUCUCUGGGCUGACACUGACGCUCAUGCACCGAAAGCGUGGGGAGCAAACGAG
rnacentral:rRNA from 1 species